CAAGUCUUGACAUCCCUCUGAAUCCUCUAGAGAUAGAGGCGGCCUUCGGGACAAAGGUGACAGGUGGUGCAUGGUCGUCGUCAGCUCGUGUCGUGAGAUGUUGGGUUAAGUCUCGCAACAAGCGCAACCCUUGAUCUUAGUUGCCAUCAUUAAGUUGGGCACUCUAAGGUGACUGCCGGUGACAAACCGGAGGAAGGUGGGGAUGACGUCAAAUCAUCAUGCCCCUUAUGACCUGGGCUACACACGUGCUACAAUGGACGGUACAAAGAGCUGCAAGACCGCGAGGUGGAGCUAAUCUCAUAAAACCGUUCUCAGUUCGGAUUGUAGGCUGCAACUCGAGUGCAUGAAGUUGGAAUCGCUAGUAAUCGCGGAUCAGCAUGCCGCGGUGAAUACGUUCCC
rnacentral:rRNA from 1 species